GGCACACAUCCGGGCUUCCGCCGCGCUCCGCACCGCCACAGCGCCCGCGGACGGACGGGGAGACCCGGAGCGCAGGUGGGGCCGUCCCGUCCCGUCCCGUCCCGUUGGCGGAGAGGCGGAACUUCGGCCGAAGUUGCGCGGCGCGGAGUUCCCGGAAGGGCUUAGUUGGGAAAUGGUGAAAACCACUGACGGAAGACCCAAGGGGGAGUACGCACAACAGCCUCUCAGCAUCGGAUGCUCCUACUGCCAUCCUCUGGAAAUCCGUGGUGAGGAGGCAGCGUUCUGUCCUGUUACCACUCCCUGCAGAGAGGAGGUGGCGCUUGCAGAAAUACUGAGGGCAUCUUGGAGGUUGCAGCAACCUGUGCACUGAUGGAUGGAGAUCAUAGAACCACAGAAUCAUUCAGGUCAGAGAAGACCUCCAAGAUCCCCAAGCCCAAUCCCAACCUAUCCCACUGUGUCCGUUGACCAAUGUUCCCAAGUGCCACAUCUCCAUGGUUGUUAAGCACCUCCAGGGUCAGCUUUGUGUCACCUCUAGGGGAGCAGACAGAAGUUUGCUGGGUGAUGCUGAACAUCCCUUCCCAUGGGCGUUAUGGGAUGCCAACCUGCUGCUCACCACAGCUUUGGAUACAUGUUGGGAAGGCAAUGGCUGCACUCCUCUGAGUGGUCCCAGCUGUGGCGAGAUGCCUUCAACGAGGUUGAGCCCAAAGCUGAACGUGGAGCUGGGAUGUUGGGGUUUCUCUUUUGCAUGACUCCUGCCUGGUUUCCUUCUCCUUUUGCAGCAUGCUCAGCUCGGAGCUUUUGUGCUUUAAACCAGUGCAAACACAGGGUUUUUCAAAGCUCACUUAGCAGGGAAGCUGAGAGAAGAAAAGGUUGCAGGGCCCAAUGCAAAAUUCAUUCUCACUGCAGUGGCGGUGACCAAUGUGGGAUCUGGUUGAGAACUGAUCCGGGUAGGUCAUAAGGCAGGUCUUCACCACUGUUCUUCGUUUGCUUUGUCUGCUGUGGCCCUAAUUCUGCAGACGGGAUGGAUUGUCCCUUUGGGGUCAGUGGGGAUGCUCUGGGCACCAUGGCAUGAGUGGGCAUGUGCAC
ensembl:lncRNA